UUUUUUUUUUUUUUUAAUGAAGUUUAUUUUAUGCGUAUGAGUGAGGGCUGGUGUAUAAGUAUAUCAUAAGCAUGCCUGUUGCUUUUGAGGUCAGAAGAGGCUACUGGAACCCCCAAAACUGGAACAGACAGUUGUGAGCCUCUGUGGGUACUAGGAACCAAACCCAGAUUGUCUGCUCUUAACCACUGAGCCAUCUCUCCAGCCCCAUGAAAGACUAUCUUGGGCAGGUAUUAAAUGUGGUUGGCCUUUCCCUCACAGAACUUCAACAUUUUUAAGACAUUCCAAAGGAUAGGAUGACAUAGUUCUCAACAAUAUUACAGUGAUAUAAAGAACAAAUGGAUAGAAGUUUGUACCCAGGUAUAUCUCUUCAUUUGGUUUGCGCAGCCUUUGCCUCAUGCUUGCCAGACAUGUGAACUUGGCCAAGUUACUAAAGGGAUUUUAGCCUCUUUAUGAAAAGGCAGCAGUGGUUAUGAGUAAUCAGUGAUGAUAUAACAGAUUUUUUUUUUAAGGAUUUAUUUAUUAUAUGUAAAUACACUGUAGCUGUCUUCAGACACUCCAGAAGAUGACAUCAGAUCUCAUUACCGAUGGUUGUGAGUCACCAUGUGGUUGCUGGGAAUUGAACUCAGGACCUUUGGAAGAGCAGUCAGUGCUCUUAACCACUGAGCCAUCUCUCCAGCCCAAUAUAACAGCUUUUGGUAAUGGAUAAGAAGGUUCCAUAGGCUCCAUGUGGGCAGGGUCCACUUUGGGGCAUAACAAUACCAUGACUUUUCCUGGGUAUAGUCUGCUAAUCUUCUUUCCAGUUGAUAGUUGCUAUGUUCUUUAAAUGUUUAAAGGCCCUAGGAAGAUUGUCUACAUCGUUUAGCUAAGCAUCCCAACUCUACAGUUGUUGUUUGGUUUGUAGACAGUGUCUUUUUUGAGAUUUAGGAACUGCUGAAACUGUUUCCCAGUAUUUGGUGGCUAUUGUUGGGUGGAAACUUUUCUUCACUGCGUGGUUAGGGAACAAAUGGUUUUCUUUGUAAAUUUAGUUUUAUAUGUACAGGUGUUUGCCUGUGUAUGGUCUGUGUAACAGUUUCAUUACUGUUGCCCAAGGAGGCCAGAGAGAGUGUUGGAUCUCAUGGAACUGGAGUUACAGAAUGUGAGCUGCCAUGCUGGUGCUGGGAAUUGAACCCAUGAUCUUCUGGAAAAACAGCCAGUGCUCUUAACAAUCCCAUAAAUGGUUGUCUUAAAUCUAACCUAGCUUGGGUGCAUGUGAAGGUGCGCUUACUGCCUCUAACUUUAUCUAUUUAAUCUAAACAGGCAUGAGAGACAGAGAGGAGAGGAACAUAUGAUAUAUGAAAGAGAAAGGGUUCUAGCAUCCUAUGGAGGGCUGAGGGAGGAGCAAGCAAAACCUAAGAGGAACAAAAAUAGCAUGAAGAAAGUUCCUGAUUUCUUAAUAAAUAAAGAGUAAAGCUAGGUCAGUAAUAAUAAAGGCAUCUAAGUCUGAAAUGGGGAAAACUUAGUUUUUCCUGGACUUUGUCUUGAUUAUCUGACUAGUUCAGAUUCUUUAACCUUUAAAAUUUAUGAGUGAGUUCAGACCUGUAUCUGACUAGGAUGAUUGAAUUUCCUAUUGCUACAACUAAUUUGUUUUGAUAUCUAAAAUAGUACUUCAUAAAAGAUGUAUUUUAAAACAUGUCUAUGGC
rnacentral:lncRNA from 1 species